rnacentral:rRNA from 1 species
AGAGUUUGAUCCUGGCUCAGAAUCAACGCUGGCGGCGCGCUUAACACAUGCAAGUCGAACGAGAAAGCCGGGGCAACCUGGUGAGUAAAGUGGCGUACGGGUGAGUAACACGUGGGUAAUCUACCUUCUGGUGGGGGAUAACCCUGGGAAACCGGGGCUAAUACCGCAUAACCCCGCAAGGGAAAAGCAGCAAUGCGCUGGAAGAGGAGCCCGCGGCCGAUUAGCUAGUUGGUAGGGUAAUGGCCUACCAAGGCUGCGAUCGGUAGCCGGCCUGAGAGGGCACACGGCCACACUGGCACUGAAACACGGGCCAGACUCCUACGGGAGGCAGCAGUGGGGAAUCUUGCACAAUGGGGGAAACCCUGAUGCAGCGACGCCGCGUGAGCGAUGAAGCCCUUCGGGGUGUAAAGCUCUUUCGGCAGGAACGAUAAUGACGGUACCUGCAGAAGAAGCUGCGGCUAACUACGUGCCAGCAGCCGCGGUAAUACGUAGGCAGCAAGCGUUGUUCGGAGUUACUGGGCGUAAAGAGUGCGUAGGUGGUUUUCUAAGUUCGGUGUGAAAUCUCCCGGCUCAACCGGGAGGGUGCGCCGAAAACUGGAAGACUUGAGUGCGGGAGAGGAGAGCGGAAUUCCUGGUGUAGCGGUGAAAUGCGUAGAUAUCAGGAGGAACACCUGUGGUGCAGACGGCUCUCUGGACCGCCACUGACACUGAGGCACGAAAGCGUGGGGAGCAAACAGGAUUAGAUACCCUGGUAGUCC